AAUUGCCAUUGAUACUGUUAUUCUGAGUAUAGUUGAAGUGGGCCGGAAUUGUGUAAUGUAGCGGUGAAAUGCUUAGAUAUUACACAGAACACCAAUUGCGAAGGCCAGCUCACUAAGCUGUUACUGACGCUGAGGCACGAAAGCGUGGGAGCAAACAGGAUUAGAUACCCUGGUAGUCACGCCGUAAACCGAUGAUCACUCGUUGUGGCGAUACACCGUCAGCGACUGAGCGAAAGCAAUAAGUGAUCCACUGGGGAGUACGGUCGCAAGACUGAAACUCAAAGGAAUUGACGGGGGCCCGCACAAGCGGAGGAACAUGUGGUUUAAUUCGAUGAUACGCGAGGAACCUUACCUGGGCUUGAAAGGGGAUCGACCUCCCGGGAAACCGGGAUUCUCUUCGGAGCGGUCUCCUAGGUGCUGCAUGGUUGUCGUCAGCUCGUGCCGUGAGGUGUCGGGUUAAGUCCCAUAACGAGCGCAACCCCUAUUGAUAGUUGCCAGCGGGUAAUGCCGGGAACUCUAUCGAAACUGCCGGUGUAAACCGUGAGGAAGGUGGGGAUGACGUCAAAUCAGCACGGCCCUUAUGUCCAGGGCUACACACGUGUUACAAUGGCCGGUACAAAGGGCAGCUAUGCCGCGAGGCAAUGCUAAUCUCGAAAACCGGUCUCAGUUCGGAUCGAAGUCUGCAACUCGA
rnacentral:rRNA from 1 species